CUGGUUGGUAGCAAACCUGCUUUUAGCUACAAUAGAAGAAGAACAUCUUCUCGCGAGAUUUCACUUAAAAAUAACGCGCGACAGUCUGAGGAAUAUAGCCGUUGAAACCACAACCAUGGCUGAAAGAGACAACAUUAGACAGUCAACACAUGUUUAACUAGAUACAUCUUAUAUUAAAUGAUACUUUCUUCAGCUCAACUCCGUUUGUUGGACUCGCCGGAUAUAUAUUUAUAUUUUUAUAUAUAUAUAAAUCCGCAGCUUAACACGGUUGACGCUACUGUUUACCGUUGGCAAACGUUUGUUAGCUAAACUCAGCUAACCAGCUGAGCGUCUUUUUGCUCGGUUUCCAAAUGGAUCCCACGGAGGACUUGUCUGCUCGGGUCCUGCUGACACAUAUUCUCAGCACCGAGCCACCCAGGUCUCCCAUCACUCGCAGUGCCUCCAACACACAGAGUACUCUCAGGACCAGAAGCAGCAGUAGACUGAGCAAAAAAGAUGCUGGUGCCCAUACCCCACAGGACGUCCUAAGACGAAGCCUGAAACAGAAAAUGCGUGAGAGUAUAACCAGGCAAUCCCUGCCCGCUAGGAGAAGGAGGACUGCCUCAGUCGUGUCCAGGAGGACAAACACGCCCGCCCCAACCUCAGAGCUGUUUGAUAAUGAAGACACACCGAGGCACAUGCUCAUGAACAUCCUACGGACAGAGCCUGUGAAGUCCCCUGUGGUUCAUGAGAAAGCUGCAGAAGAGCCACGGCCAUCUUCAGCCGACUCCAGUAUUACGAAGCGUCCUAGUAUUGAGCUGUCAGGGUUCGACUUGCCUGAUAUAACUAUUGGCAUCGCAGCGAGUACCGCGAAGGGACUGAGCAGGAAGAGACAACGUCGGAGCCUAAAUGUAACAGCUUUUGAAAAGUGUCUUAAAGAUGGAGAAGAUGUUGAUGAGGAAAAUGAAAACUUAAUAGGCGACCUUUCAUCCCUUCAUUCCCAGUCAAGUUCACACUUCUUUUAG
rnacentral:lncRNA from 1 species